UACGUAGGGGGCAAGCGUUGUCCGGAAUUAUUGGGCGUAAAGAGCGUGUAGGCGGCCAGAUAAGUCCGCUGUGAAAUCUCGAGGCUCAACUUCGAGCUGUCGGUGGAAACUAUCUGGCUAGAGUCCGGAAGAGGAGAAUGGAAUUCCUGGUGUAGCGGUGAAAUGCGUAGAUAUCUGGAGGAACACCGGUGGCGAAGGCGGCAUCCUGGACCGAUAUUGACGCUGAUGCGCGAAAGCCAGGGGAGCAAACGGG
rnacentral:rRNA from 1 species